GGGUGCGAUUAUACCAGCACUAGUGCAUUGAAUCCCAUCAGAACUCCGCAGCUAAGCGUGCUUGGGCGAGAGUAGUACUAAGGAUGGGUGACCUCCCGGGAAGUCCUCGUGUGCACCCU
rnacentral:rRNA from 1 species